rnacentral:lncRNA from 1 species
UUUUUUUUUUUUUUAAUUUUUUUUUCCAAUACAAGGGGUUUAAACUCUCUGGUGUUGCCAUCUUGUCUCUGAUCCCCUCGCAGUCCCCUGGCCCAUCUCUGUAGACUUCAAGUGUGCUCCAGCACAACCAGUGUGUCUUGGCGUCACCAACUCAGGGCUCUCACUUGCAUCCCAUCCCUCUAACCCUGGCAUGUCAUCCCACAACUUGUCAUGGCCAUUCCUGAUCUUAUCCCUUCUCCCUUCAAGUCUAGUUCAAAGCUCUGUCAAUCAGCCCUGCUGGCUCAUAAGCAAAGACCUUAGAGGAAGGUGAAUUCCAUCAAUAAGAUGAAGUUAUGGCAAAAUUAAGCUUUUUUCCUUUCUGCCCAUGUGCUGGUCUAUGGUCAGCUUUAGACAGGCUAAUUUGAGGCAAAUGCCAGUAGGAUUGAAUGAAAAGUGAUGGUGACAUUCUCCUAGAAAUCAAGCAACAUUCUGAUCUGCAGUCAUCCAAGAAGGCCUUUGAAUCUGGCAUAUUCAUCAGCAAAGGUCAAAUUUACUAUUUAGAGUUGGGCUACCUGAUUCAACCCUGGCAUUAAAAAUGCUGGUAAUUUAAAUUUUUAAGAAGCCUAUAGAAAAAAUGAAUCAGCUAUUUUAAUGUGAUGAAAUAUAAUGUAUUACAAACAUAUAACCCUACAAAGUCAUUUAAUGUUGUAAGUGUAUUAUGGGAAAAAGCAGGCACAAAAGGCUGUGGUUUCUGAGGAAGCUGCUUCUUUUAAAGUAAGACCCCAAACAAUCAGGUAUUUAUGAAAACCCCUGUACAAAAUAACGUAGAGACAGGAAAUCACAUAAGCUGCUUUAGGGUUUUAGAAGACAAAGAGCAGAUCAGAGACUGUCUAAAAUUUCUUGAUGUAUUUGAUUCUCAUUUAGAGGAAAAGAAUAUAAAUGCUGAGGUGUUUUUAAUAAAUUAGGUACCUUUGAAGGAUUUUCACAUAACUAGUACAACUGUUUAAAGGUAUUGUGGCAUCCAAGAAGAAACUAAAAGAAGAAACUUUUUACUCCUCCUGCUUUAUUUAUAUCUUUCCUUAUUUGUUGUUCACUCCCUGCUGAUGCAGUAAAGAUGUUCCCUAUUUAUGAGCUCCAUUAUGAAGCAUCAAAUGAUUGUAUCAACUGAAGGAAAACUGCCUAUACUGGCUAAAGCUUUAGCUUUACUGCCCUUUUCUCUUGAAAAUUGCCUCUGGUUGCUCUAGCAGACACUUCCAAUUCCUAACAAUUUUAAAGGCUGAUGCUCUAAAAAGUCACAAGUUUGUUUUUGGUUUUUUAUCCUUGGGAUUUCAAGUUUUUUUCUCCCAUCAGCCUGCUUGUUGGCAGUAUUAGCUAGCAGGUUGACAGGAAACAAGGAUAAACCACCAGGGAAUUGCCUGUUUAGGGUUUUUUUACAUUCAGUAACAGACUUUCAACCCCUCUCUACCAUUCUGCAGAGAUAUAAAACUACUUAAGAAUUAACUCUUCAGAGCAACCAUUGCUGUAUCCAUGACUAUAUGCCCUACAAUCAUGGAAAUCAUGUAAAGAUUUUACACUCUUCGUUGACUAUGCAAACAAUUGAAAGGAUGCUUAAAAAAUGGAAUUCACAUAGGAAAUCUGAAAUUGUUACAGUGGCUGUUGCUUCAAAGUUUAAAGAGAAUGGCUUUUAGCGAGUAGAUCUGGAAGAGUUAAUGGAGAAAAAUAUUCCAUGGAUACCCAGAUUAAUGGAUAUAGAGUUAUUUGUUUGCUACUGACUUUGUGAUAACUACACAAAGCUUUUUUUAUGUCGAAUGAACUUUGUACCAGGGUUUUUCCAGUACAUAAAUCUGAUGAACUUCACAACUGCUUCUGAUGUUUUGAGAAAAAAAAAGACUUGCUGCAUACAAAGCUGAGGUUGUGAUCAAUUAAAAAUAUAAUCACUUGGCCAAACUUAAGGCUUUUCAGAUCAUACUAAUAAAAGAGAUUGAUGGUACAAUUAGGAAUGCAGUGCAAAAUGGAAAUAAAAUUGACUACAUCAAAUUACUUUAUUAUACUUUCCAUAAUUUACUGAAGUAGCUCAACGUUAAGAAAUGGAAGCAUUUUUUCAUUUUGUCCAAAGCCUCUAGAACAAAGGAAAUUAAUGAAUAACUAUUGAAUUGUGCAGUUGCCUGCUUCACUAAUUCUAAACCUUAAGUGAUGUAUCUAAUGAUUUAUAUGAGUAACUCUGAGAAAGCAGUGUGGUAAAUUUUAACAUCCCAGUAAUAACUUGGUAGAGAGAAAUUGCUUCACUAGAUCCUGAAUUGUAUUAAAAGUUACUAUGUUGGUAUAGCUGUAGUUAUAGGAUUUGUGUACAUAUAUUCCAUAUAGAUAUGUUUUAUUGGACAUUCAAAUGGAAGAGCAGUUUCUGCUCAAAAGCUUUCUCAUUGCACUGGCUGGUUUGAGAAAUGAGAUUUCCUUUCUGUGUAGCCCUUUCUUCACAUCAGUCAAUCAGGCAUUAGCUAGGGCAUUGUAAUGGCACAAAACACUUUCCACAGCUGUGCUACCUGACAAAUUCUGUAUAUUUCUUACAAGAAAUAGGAUUUAUCAAAAUAACAUGAAGGAAUUUCUUAUUUCAGUAGGGCUCUGGGAUGUAUGCAAUGUGUAUUUACAGUUCACAUAGGAAUAAUGCUGUACUUAGAAAUGGUAAUUAUUUAGUGAUAGGAACAUCUUGCACUUUGGUCUAACUUUUCAAGUCACCUGAUAUUGAUAAAAAUUAAUAAUUUUAAUAAUAACUCAGAUUAACAGGUUUUGGGUUUUUUAAAUUUCAACAUCACUGUAUAGGGCUGAAUUUCAUGUUCUUUCAGCCAUUUAGAACUAAUAAAGAGUAACAAGAAGAAGAAAGCUGAUAAGUAACUUUGUAGCCUCUUCUGUGAGUAAUUUUGGAACAAGCAUAUUACACAGGAAAGGAUGUUAGUUUUGCAUUAUGAUGUACUGUGUUUCAAGAAGCUCUUUGAAUGCCCCCAAGCUGUGUUAGCCCAGAGUGAAUUAGAACACUGCAGCAAGUACAAACUCAGAGGAUAAUACCAGCAAAUACCAUUGCAUAGCACAUAAUUUAAUUUUUAUUUUCUAGACAGAAUCUAAUUGAAAACUGGUUUUCACUAUAAUGAUGUAAUUUGUAGUUUGCAGGCAGUGAGAAAGUCAUAUUUGUCAGUAGUUUCUGAGUACAGCAAGUUAUGAGGUGUUCUUUUUAGUUAGAUUAUAAAGGAUUAGAGCCCCAGAAUGCUCUGAGUAUUUGCAGCAUUUGGAAAGGGUUUUUCUUCCUGAAAACAGCCAUUUUCCUAGGCUGGAGCACUGGAGCCAGUCAUUGGGGUUGAGCUGCUGUUUGGGAGCUGGCAUUUAUAUGCAGUUCCUGCAGCACACCUGUCAUGCUUUAUGCACCUCUUCCCUCUCAAAUGAGCGUGUUUGCCAUCUGCAGUAUAUUAAUCACAGUCUACCUUUCCCAUAUCCUUCUUCCUUGGGAAAAUACCAGGCACUGGAACCAGAGCAUGACUGGCUAGAUGCUUGUGCUGGAAGAAGGGCAAUCAGGGAACCCACACCCUUACCAGAAACACACCAAAGGAUCACCUCACAUGAAAAGGGUCAUGGUGGCCUGGCCAGACCUUUCCUCUUUCUGUACAGAAUAAGGAAAAGCAGCCAAUGGUAACAGGGGGGUGUUUCCAUCUCAGUUUUCUCACAGCAGUGUCUCCAUGGUGUUUCUCUUUCAGUAUGAAAGCAGACAGCACAAGAACACACAGCACGAGCAUUCCCAGUCCUGGGAAUUUGUGGAGGUUAAGGGGAGAUGAGCAGCUGCCUGGUUUGUGGAGUAACAGCUAUGGAACAUGGCAGUGGUGGCUCCUCUUCUCCCAGCUGCAGAUUGUGGUGAUGCUAAACAAGUAUUUUUCCAUCUUCCAGUAGCAAAUUGAGCUUGGAGUGAAUUAUUUGGGCUUUAUUCUGGGAGGAAGUCAGAUUUCCUCUGAGGACAAGUGCAUUUUCUAGCUUUGCCUUGAGAGACACUUGGUUCCUGAGAAGUGCCAAGAAGGGAACCAAAGGCAAGGGAAAAAAUGAGGACCUGGAACCAGCUUGCUCAAAUACACUGGCACUGGCUCAGCUCAGCUGGUGAUGAAGGUUGAUCUGAAACAUGGCUAAAGAACUGAAAUAAUUUUUGUCUUAUCUACACUGCUUCCUUUGCCCCCCACAGCACAGGGGAAAUAUCCAUCACAGUUUGCAUCCAGGUACUCCAUUUACAAAUUUCUGUGGCAGGUGCAAUAGCCAUUAUAAAAUAGAGUGGAUUUGGUUUGGGGUUUUCCUGGAAAAUCUCUUUUGGCACUCUACAAAUGAUAGAGUAAGAGCAGGUGUUUAAAUAGAGAACCACAAUAAAACACAAAUCUUCUUAAUGAGUUGUAAUCAACCAAAAAGCUAAUGAGGUUGGGGCAGUUUUGUGAGUGUCUGAGGAGUCUCAGGCCUCCAGAGCAGGCUUUGCAUCCAUAAAAUAAAAUCCUUGGGAGCCAGGAAUUCAGGUUACUUUCAUUCCCCUUCAGAUAAGCCUGGUAAGGUUUCUUUGCUUUUGUAGUGGUGUAAAGCAAAUAUCUUUUCAAUAUCUCAUUGCUGACUCUCAGACUUGUAUUCUUGGAUCUAAUUCAGCCAUUUAUUGUCCUAAGCAUUAACAUUCAGUUGAUUUAUAUUUCUAUGCUUACUAAUUGCUAAUUCCUUAAAAUUUAUGGGCUUAUUUUUCAUCAGAUUCAAGGGGCUUUAUUCAGAGGUAUGAAGGGAAACAUGGCUACAGGAAAUGCAAACCUUGUUGCUUGACCUGCUGUUCCUUCUUUUACCUUUCCAUUCUCUCUUCUGGUUUUCACCAAUGUCUUUUGUUUUCCAGGGAAACUGUCUUUAAGUUGCAUGUUCUAUGAAAUGUAUACUUUUCUGUUUUCUGCUGUUUAAUUAAUACCUCACUAACUUUGGCUGAGGCUGUGAAAUCAUUGAUAACUGUGCUUGUUUGAAUAUAACCAGGUCCUUUGUUAUAUUACCAAAAUCAUGGGUGCUAGGAAACUGCAUAAUCCUCAAGGAAUCUCAGCAAGCCUGCCAAAUAAUCUGCCACCUCACACCUUGAGCUCGGCUAAAGGCUGGCUUAAGUGUGAAAGCAUGAGAUCAGAAAUCCUUUCCAAGCUUUGAGGUGUAUACUGCAGUAAAUCUGGGCACUCUAAAUUCAUUAUAAUGGUGGCAUCUCCUGUGAGCUCAUUAUGUAUUAGGUAUUGUCUUUUUAACCCCUAUGCACAGUCUUUUCUUUCCAUUCCAUUAUAUGGUGUAUUAUACCCUUUUUAAAAAUUUUAUUUAUUUUUAUGAGAAAUCAGUGUUUUCUUAUCUUCCUUCUCUGUUCCAAGCAUAACUUUAGAUAAUUUAUUUUUUUGGGGGUUUUUUUCUAUAGUAAAUAGCUCUGCUUUUUAGGUAUUGGUGCUUCAGCUCUGUAUCAUUCUCGUCUCCCUUCUCUAGGGUUAUACUGCAAGGAGUUUCUUUCUCUGAAGAUGGAGUAAUCAACAAUAUUGUACAAAUGCCUACAGUAUUUCUGGCAAGAAUCCCAGACGUGAAGCUGGCUGUGCUCUCCUGGGGACGAGGGGACAACCUGUUAGAAGCAGACGUGGUUCUGAUUCCCUUGGAAGAAGCACAAAAGGAGAUGUUCUGUUCUUUGAAAAUAACUGGAGCCACUGGCAAGAAGCAGCGACACUGCAUCGAACAAGGGAACCACUUCCAGGUUAUCAAAACAUGCUGUUGAACUGAAUUUUGCAGCUGCAUUUUCCAAUGUACCAUGGGAUGCAUCAAAUCCAAGGCUGCCUUCCAAGGUUCCAACGCUGUCCAGGAUGAGAGGAUCGGGGGAGGCGGCGAGGGCUGCGCUGGGGAGAAGUCGUCGCUGCUGGCGGUGCAGGCGGAGGAGAAGGGCCCCUCGAGCACCAUCGUGCUGGACUACGCGCAGCGGCUGUCGCGCGAGAUCCUGGAGCAGGCGGUCAAGCAGUGGGCGGUGACCGAGAGCAAGUACAGCGACAUCCCCUUCAUCGAGAGCGACGUGCCCUGAGCUCUCCGGGGCCUGAGUGUGCUCUGUGCGUGUGCCAGUGCAGAGGAAGCACCCCCAGCUGCCCUCUGAGCAUCACUGUGGGGAGGGGUCUGCAGGGAGAGCCUGAGAAAAGUUGCCCUGUAGCGUAGGGUGCUAACAAACUGAUUGGAUCGCAGUAGAACCCGUUCAUCGAGUGUCAUUUGUUGUCAGCCAUGCAUUGAGUAUACUCUGUCUUUGUAUGUGUUGGAUGUGACCAGAAAUAAGCGUUAAAAGGAUGAGAAGACUGUGGCUGCCCUGCACCUCUACAAACACUGCCACAGAGGACAAAACGUGGAUCAUUUCUAUGUUCUGCAUAAAAGAUCAGUGAUCUGUCUGUAGGUGGGAUGAACUCUCUGUGCUUGGUGAAUUUGUGUGUGUUUCGCUGAAAUUAAAUCAAGGUCUGCAUGUAGCAAAGGUUACUGCCAUCAUAAAUUUUACUUUUGAUUCUGUGACCUAACGGAAUCUGUAAGAUCACAAAAUGAAGGUGAUAGGAGGCACUUUGUAAACCCCAGUAGUAUUCAGGGAGCCAUUUGGAUGAUGAUGCUAUUCACCUUCCAUUGAAGUGAACCAGGGAGAAACAUGCCAGUGUUGAUAAGCAGUGCAUUAUCAUUAACAGAUGCUUCUGUAAAUGCAUGAAAGCUUUUCUCUAAAAGCCUGCAGUAAGAUGGGUUAAUGACAUCUGGUCACUGCAUUCAGACCAAAGCUGUUUGGUUUUUUGAUUUUGUUUGGGGAUUUUUUGUUAGGGUGCCAGUUUGGGAGGAUUUGGUUUUGUUGUUUUACCAGAGAGAUGUGCAAAAACUACUGAUGGUAGCUAGUGAAAAGAACCUUCAAAGGUGUGACAGUGCUUUAGGACAAUUUGUUUCAUGGGAGCUGUGGUUACAUUACACUGCAAUUCCUCUCUGAAGUACCACCCUUGGGACAGGCAGGACGUCUUCCUUCAGCUUCUGUAGGCUGCUGCUUCCCCACUGGAAAACCUGUUCAUGGCGCUGCCAGCAGGAGCCACAGGAGCCCCAGCACAGAGCAGUGCCCUGAAUGCAGAGUUACAGACUAAGCCUUAGGCCCGAAGCUCAAGGGCUGCAUUUCUCCCCCGGUGCAUCCACACACCGCUCCCUGCUUGCCCGGGUCUCGCAGCCUGACCCGCUGCACUCACCGCUGGCGUCUGACAGAUCAGGACACCCACGGAUUAUUUUCAUUCAUCCCAAAGGUACAGUGUUGCUGAGGUUUAUACAAAGUGAAGGCCUUCUAACAGCUUGGCUUUUACCACCUGUUUGUUCUGUUCUCUGUGAUGCCCAGUUUAAAAGACAUAGUUCUUUUUCCUAGAUCAAAAUGCUUUCCAUUUUGUUUUAAUAUUACAGAGAAAUGCUUUCCAUACUGGCUAAAGCUGUUACUAUUUUUAAAAGGUACACAUAGUUCUAGUAAAUGAUCCAAAGCAGGAUUUUUCAAGCAAUGGGAAGCAAGCAAAAAGAGGACCAUGUCAAAUGCUGUAGACAGUCUAUGAGCUGAGCUGUUUUGCAAAUGUUGUGACACAAAUGUAGGUAUUUGAAAUUCCCCUAUAUGGGAAGUGGUUUUAUCAGGAAUGAAAGGUGAAAAAUGCUUCUUUGUGACACAGCACAAGGCUGCCAUUAAAUCCCAGUGACCAGACUGGAUUCCCAGUGACCUGCUAUUAAGGCUCUUCUCAGGCUUUUGCUGGAAAAAGUAACAAAAUCAGCUUAUGCUGUAAUGUUGUCCUCUUUGAAGUUACGUAGUUGUCUUCAAAGCUGUUUGCAAAGUGGGACUAAGGUUUUAUGGUUCACUUAAAUUCUCCUGCUAAGAGUGAUGUUCCUUCAAGUUCUACAGCAUAUAAAACACUUGCUCAUACUCUGUUUGCUCUAAAAUACCUCCAGGGAUUAGUGUGAGUUAGAAAGCAAAGCCAAAUCACUGAUCCAAGUCAGUACAUAUCAACUGGAUAUUGAUUAAGCACAGUAUUAAAAAAGAUUCCUAUUCUUACUCUUGCUAAAAUAAAGCUUUAAUAAAAAAAAAAAAAAGGGCCAACCUUUCUAACAUGAGUGUGGGCUUGAGAAUGUGAACACUGCUAACCACAGUAAUUAAAAAUAAAAAACCAAAGCUCCACAGCCAUUGUUGGCCAGGCAGAUGAGGAGCAGGUAGAAAACUGGACUCGCUGUCAGAGCACCUUUAGGUGGAUCUGCCCUGGCCCUUGUACAAGGCACCCUGGUGGUGGCCACGGGCAGUGAGGUGCUGCAGUGCGUCCUGUUGCCAUGUCUCAAAUCCUUCCUCUGGAUGUAGCCUUAGCAUCUGACACUCUUUAAGAAUAUCAGAUGCACUUUUGAAAGCAGUUCCCUGCUGGCAGGCUGCCACUGCACGGUCCAACAGCAGGCAGAGUUAUAAAGCAGCCUGAGGUUCCAGCACAGCAUCCCGUGUGAUCAGCACUGGGAAUGUCCCCAGAGGAGGAGGUCGCCCAGUCACCCUGACCCUGCCCCAAGAGCUGCUCCCCUGGGAGGAGCUGCUGGGUGGGGUGGCUGCCCUGCCUGCCCCCAGAGCUGCCCGGGGUUACUCAGCACCAGCUCUUGGUGGCCCAGCCAGUCCCUCACCUGCAGCUCCAACCUCAGCCCUCACUGGUGCCUGGAGAUUACAGCAGCUUCAGAGCGGCCCCACGCGCAAUUCCAGCAGCUUUGGGAUGCUGUCCGUGACACUGGCACUUCAGGGAAGGCAUGCAGCAAAUGGAAAGCAAACAACAGGGAGAUGGCUUCUCACCAGGAAAAUCAUCUCUUUUACAGGAUGCUGUCCUUAUAAAUAAUGCACUUACCCUUAACAGAAAAUAAAUCCAUUCAGUGCUACAGUCUGGUAAGAGAUGGAGGGAGAUCUCUCUCCAGACCUCUGGUGUGCAUUUAACAGGCCCAAUACUAAUACAUAGUAAAAAUAAAGACUUCUUCACCUAAACACAUUUAUCCUAAGCUGUGCUAGAGUUUUAGAGCUACUGACAGUGGGUUUCCAGCUAAGUUAUUGAUUAUUUGACUUGAUUUUGUGUAAUAAAGGCGCUCCAGUUUGGGACUGGCAUACUCUGCAAAACUGUUUAGGAAUUAAAAAUACAUUUGCUUUAUAUUUUCUCCAGGAAACAAGAUUAAUCUGAGUGGAUAUGAUGUAACUGACUUGAUAUUCUAAUAAUGGUUCAAAAUACAUUAACUGCAGCACAACUUUGUAAAGUUGACGUCUCUGGACUAAGGCACAUCAGUAUUCCCAAAUAAAAC